rnacentral:rRNA from 1 species
AACUUUCAACAACGGAUCUCUUGGUUCUGGCAUCGAUGAAGAACGCAGCGAAAUGCGAUAAGUAAUGUGAAUUGCAGAAUUCAGUGAAUCAUCGAAUCUUUGAACGCACAUUGCGCCCUCUGGUAUUCCGGGGGGCACACCUAUUCGAGCGUCAUAU